AUGUUCAAAGGAAGAGCUCAGCUUGUGCCUGUAAAUUCAGUCUGGAAGCUGAAAACAAGAUGGAUGAGCUUCUACGGGUACAGAGGGAGCUUCUACGAUUUCAGUUACUGCUAUCCAAGCAUUUCCACCGAUGGAGAAAUAUUGACAUCUAACUUGUUUCAGAAAAAAAGGGCGCAAGCACAGCACUGCAGCUUCCUAUCUCCUUUAUUUGGUCUUCCAUUGCUUCUUGUUGCUGAGGUUGCCUUCCUAUUGCCCCCUUCCCUUUUCCACUCUUCUACUAACACUUGCUUCAGGCUACUGAGGGCUUUGGCUUCUCGGUGUUGUCGCUACAGGCCAACGUUUUAUCUGAGGGUAAAAUUCAAGAAGAUAUAUAUGGCUUUUGGUGCAAAUGACAUUGUGUUGCAUAUCAAGAGACUAAUGUAUUCAUCUGUCAGAAUUGGAUAUCAAUUUGCUUGUGAUUACCCUAUAGUACUAGCUGCUGGCGUUUUGUUGCUGUUUCUACACAGGCUUUGCCCUUCUCUAUUCAACUUCUUGCUGUCUUCAUCUCCAGUCUUCCUGUUAACUGCACUUCUGCUUGGAGCACUUUUGAGUUAUGGUGAACCUGCUGUUCUUGUUCUUGGAGAGAAUCAACAAACUUUGUCCUUUAAAUCCAAGAUUUCCAUUACUGACUGUUCGAUUGACAAGGUUGAGACUGUUGCUGUCGAGGAGCACUUGGAUAAAACAACUACCAGUAAUGAAGUAUAUGUCAGGGAAAGAAAUUUUGAGGGUAAUAUACAUGACACUCACUGGGAAGAGAAAAAUGGCACCUACAUGACAGUUGAUACCGCUCUAAAUGACGAAAUACAUACGAAGGAUGGAACUUCUGAUUAUGAUUUGCAGGAUACCCACCGUGAAGGAAAAGGUAUCACAUCAGUGGAAACUGAUACUGUUCCUUGUGUGGCGCCUUCAAGUUUUGCCUACAGUGGUGUAACUGUGGAAACUGAAGACGUUGGGGAGAACAGCAAGAAGAAUGAUGAGCUGCAAGAACUUGGAAGCAUCAAUCCUGAAAGUGAUAACAAUAAAGUACAAUAUCAAUAUCAGUUAGGUGAGUUUAUGAGUUCAUGUUGGGAACCUGUUAUGAGACAGGAGCCACAGGAUGCUUGUUCUGAUUCUGAAUCUGAUCUUACUGAGAGUUCUCCUGAUGCAUCAAUGACUGACAUUAUUCCAAUGCUUGAAGAGUUGCACCCAUUAAUAGACUUGCAAACUGGCCACCCUUCAUUGGUCUCCAGAGACAACUUGAAUACUUCUUCGGAUGAUGAUGAAGAUGAUCUUGAGGAGGAGGAUGCUAGCACAGAUGAAAAUCAAUUGGAAGGGAAAAUAGAUGAUUUUGCUAACUGGAAGGAUGUUAUUGAUCUAAAUUACUUGGAUAUGGACAAUAAUAGCAAGCUGGAGGGUAUGAUGGAUCUGCAAAGAGCAAAGAACAUUCUGAAAUUUGAACUUGACAGGAGGUUAAUGGACUUGCAAGCAGCUGAUGCAGUACAGAAAAUGGAGGAGGCAUCACGCUUCCGUGUGCAGGUUCCCUCCAUUUCCACUGGAAGGCAGAACCCAUUUGAUUCUUCAAAUGGCUCAGAUGAAAUAAUAGAGUUACCACAUGUUCCUGAUUCAGCACCGUCUUGUCUCCUUCCACGGAAAAAUCUAUUUGAUCUUUGCAGUCAACCAAAAUAUGGCCCACGAUAGUCCAUUGCAAGAAACUUGGACUCCUCUUUCGUACUUUUCAGCAAGACGGCAUAGAAAGCAUGGAAACUUAUAUGUUAGGCACUCUACUAGCCUGCAUCACAAUAGCUUCAAACUGGAGAAAGAUGAAAUAAGUGAAAAUGAUGCCCAUAAUAGUCAGUCAGACUGUGAUGCCAAGCAAGAAGGGAACAACAGCAAGUUAUUUGGUUCACUGGAAGCACAUAUAGGUGAAGAAAUCAAAAUAUUAGGCGCAGCAAUUUCAGAUGUGGGUGUAUUAGAAGUAAAUUCUGGAAUGGAUAGUGGUAACCAAAAUGCUGAUUUCAGUGAUGAUAUCAGUUUAUCUCCUAUCCAGAAGUCUAGACAAAGCACUUUCGAAGCUAAGGAAGCAGUACAUGCAGGUAUUGAGCAAUUAACAUCGUGCUCCCCUUACAAGGUAAAUAAUUUUGAGGCACAUAUUGUUGAAGCAGACUCCAUUGAUGAAUUUAACUCAUUGUUUAAGUGCCGUAUGGAGGAAGUACUAGUGCAAUCCAUCUCAGAGUCCAGUAUCAGUCAACCCUUGACAGUUAAACUUGAAGAUGAAUUGAGUGAACCAUUAUCUUCAGACUCUGGGACCGGGACACAUUUCAUUGACGGGAGUUCAGUUGAAGAUUCGGAUCCACAAUUUGCACAGCUCAAGGAUGAAGCACUGGUAUCUGCUACUUCUAACGCAACAUGUCGUAAUGAGUCAAUUGAAGAGAAAUCAAGUGAAGCAUUACUGGCAGGAAACGAAGAUUAUUCAGAACUGCCAAAUGAACUGUUAAAAUCAGGAGAUCCACAGUUUGCAGAUAGUUCUGAGAUUCAAAUGCAGGUUAUUGAGGCUACAGGUCACUGAAUCAUCACAAGGGCCUAAAACAAGGCCAAACAGCCAAUUUCUCAGAGAGAUCUGUAAAGCAUAGAUGUCCUGUCUUAGCUCUCUGAACAGGUUUCUGCCCCCCUUUGUUCCAACUUACUCUAUGGCGUCUGGAUUUAACUAUUCCUCUUCUUAAUACAAAAUGUGCAGCAAUCAUGCUGUUUUUCCUCCAAAAACUUUUCUCAGGAAGUCCGCAAUGUCAGAAAUAUCCAAGGAACAGUGGAUGUACAUAUGGUUUCUGCUUAUUUCUUCUCUUUUGUUUCUGCUUAUUUGCUUUCGGUUUUGGGCUAAUAGGUUAGUAGAUAGGAGAGUAGAUGACAUUGAUAUGAAACACCAGUUGCAGUUGGGUGUGAUAUCCAUUCAGUCAAGCCGGUCUUUCUUUCGCUGCCUAUGGAGUAUUAAUUUUUCUUGUCUGCCAGACAGGCAUUGGCAACCCCUGAUCAUCACUUUGUUUCAGUAAAUAAGAUGAUUGGAUGUCUGUUUGCCUGUUGGUAAACCGCUGGACUGGAGUUGCAGCUUCUGCAGUUUGCUUCUUCAACAGUUAUCCUGUCAGUAA